rnacentral:misc_RNA from 1 species
UCUCCGUAGGUGAACCUGCGGAAGGAUCAUUAAAGGGACGUUGCCCUUCGGGGUCGACCUCCCACCCUAUGUUUAUCAUACCUCUGUUGCUUUGGCAGGCCCGUCCUCGGACCACCGGCUCCGGCCGGUCCGUGCCUGCCAGGGGACCUAAAACUCUGUUUGUUAAUGCAGUCUGAGUACUAUAUAAUAGUUAAAACUUUCAACAACGGAUCUCUUGGUUCUG